CAUUUGCCUUUUAAUUAAAGGAUAGUAUGAAAGGAAAAACGAAAUUUAAUCUUUAUUAUUUUUAUAAACAUAAUUUAUACUUCAGGUGAAGAUCCCUGAAUUAAUUUGAAAGACAAGAAGACCCUAUAGAAUUUUAGUUAGUUUUCCUCCCCUUCUCCUCCUAACUUUUGUUGGGGCGACCGAAGAUUAAUAAAAACAUCUUCCACAUACACCAAACCACCCUUUACACUUAUGAUCCUGGUAACAGAAUAACAAAAUAAAUUACCUUAGGGAUAACAGGCUAAUCUUCUUAUAGAGUUCAAAUCGACAAGAAGGUUUGGCACCUCGAUGUUGGCUUAGAGAACCAAGUUGCUGCAGCAAGUAACUCUGGUAGUUUGUUCAACUAAUAACCCUCU
rnacentral:rRNA from 1 species